rnacentral:lncRNA from 1 species
CAGGCGCCGGGGUCCCGAGUCCCGGCGUCCGAGUCCAUGGAGAAGCCGAAGGAGCGCCCGAGGCCCUGGGACGAGAGCACACUUCGCAGAGACUUUUCUCGGACAAACUUCCAGAGUCCCUAGAGGACGGCCUGAAGGCCCCGGAGUGUGCCAGUGGCAUGUACAAAGAGACUGUCUACUCUGCCUUCAAUCUGCUCAUGCACUACCCACCGGCCUCGGGAACGGGGCAGCAUCCGCAGCCUCAGCCCCCGCUGGUAAGUGACCGCGGCAGUCAGG